rnacentral:rRNA from 1 species
AUGCAGAAUUCCCUACAAAGUUUGUAUGGAAAAGCGAAACAAAAUGUUGGCAGAAGCGAAAAAGGGACUACGCAAUUGGAAGAAUCGACUAUGCACGUCGCGCAAUUAACACAAAACAUGCGGCUGAAGUGUUUGUCAGAUGAUCCAAUACAAAAGCAAAAGGUCGCUGAAUUUGUAGAGUGGAUACUACAGAUUGGCGAUGGCAAAACAACAUCAGAUGAAGGAGAGGAUUGGAUAAAAAUACCAAAAGACCUACUGCUAGAGAAAGGAGAAAAUCGUAAAGAACAAAUCGUCAAAAGCAUAUACCCAAAUUUGCUGCAAAAAUACCGUGAGCGGGAUUACCUAGAAGAAAGAGCAAUACUAUGUCCAAGAAAUGAUACAGUCAAGGAGAUAAAUGACCACAUAAUGAGCCAAAUACAAGUGUGCAAGGCAACGACAAAUACCAACAUCAUGAUGAACAUGCAACCUACUGAGCUCCUCAACACCUUAACGUCCCCAGGAAUACCAGACCAUAAGUUAAAACUGAAGGUAGGUUUGCCGGUCAUGCUCCUACGCAACAUUAACCAAGCAGCAGGCUUAUGCAACGGUACAAGAAUGACAAUUACACAACUUGGAAACAAAUACAUCGAGACACAAAUAAUCACAGGAACACAUGUCGGCGAUAAGGUAUACAUACCUCGAAUCAUCAUGUCACCAAGCGACUCAAAAUGGCCAUUUGUGCUAAAAAGAAGGCAAUAUCCAUUAUUAGUGUGCUUCGCAAUGACAAUAAACAAGAGCCAAGGUCAGUCCUUAAACAAGGUAGGCAUAUAUUUGCCUAAGCAAGUGUUCUGCCAUGGACAACUAUAUGUGGCACUAUCAAGAGUGACAAACAAGGAAGGAUUGAAGGUGCUGAUCGAUGACGAAGAGUGUCCAACCGAAGAUGUCGCAAAGAAUAUUGUUUACAAAGAGAUUUUUUAA